rnacentral:lncRNA from 1 species
ACAUGCUUGUUAGACUUUGAGCCACACAUUUAUUAUUUACUGCUUAUGAGCAUUGAGUGUGGUCAAGCUGUGUUGACCCUUAGGAGCUUGUCAUGUGGUUAAAUCAAGAUUUCACUUGCACGUUCACUCAUAUAUGCUACUUCUACUCCGGAAGUACCAUCCACAUAUAUCCACCCAUUCCAUCUCCAGAAUCACCCAAAAAUAUUCUGCUCCUAAUCCGGGAGAGAAUAACCAAAAAUAUUUCU